GUGACUGUUAGUUGGAGAACUAGAAGUAAACAUGGUGCAAACAGUUCUUCGCGAGGGUAUACCCAGCAAUUGAGGGAGAGGAAGAAGAAGAACAGUAAAAACCUUAGAGGAAACAUUUUUUUUUCUUUCGGUGAAAGGAAAUGAGAAAUUAUUAGAGAGUCGUGCUGAUAACGUGUUAUAAAUAGGCAAAAUUUAUAGAGAGAUAACCUUUACUCG
rnacentral:lncRNA from 1 species